UCAGUUGUCUCCAGGCACAGCAUUUGUGCUACACGCCUUCUUCACGCCCUGUUUCCCUUCUUAACCUUCUGGGAGGAGGAGGCUUCGUGGCAUCUGAUGCAGAACAUCCAGAUUCAGCCACAGUUUUGUUCCCUAUAGCAUCAACCUUAUUCCAGCCAGAAGGGACUGGAAGUGACACACCAGCAGCGUUAAAACACAUAAUCAUCGCGGACAAAGAGGGCUACAAGCCAAAUCUGUGGCUCCUCAUACACUUUGCUUCUGGGAAAAUCCACCCUGUAAAUAAAAGAGCCAGUCAUGGGAUUGAUUAAAAAAUAACUUGGUUGUUUC